rnacentral:rRNA from 1 species
ACGCCAACAGUUGCCAGCAUGUCCUCCGGGAUGAUGGGGACACUGUUGGGACCGCCUCUGCUAAAGAGGAGGGAAGGGAAUGGGCAAACGGUAGGUCAGCAUGCCCCGAAUUAUCCGGGCUACACGCGGGCUACAAUGGUCAGGACAAUGGGUAUCGACACCGAGAGGUGGAGGCAAUCUCCUAAACCUGUCCUUAGUUCGGAUUGUGGGCUGCAACUCGCCCACAUGAAGCUGGAAUCCGUAGUAAUCGCGUUUCAAAAUGGCGCGGUGAAUAUGUCCCUGCUCCUU